UACGUAGGGGGCAAGCGUUGUCCGGAAUCAUUGGGCGUAAAGCGCGUGUAGGCGGGUCGGUAAGUCCGCUCUGAAAGCCCGGGGCUCAACCCCGGGAGGCGGGUGGAUACUGUCGACCUCGAGUCCGGAAGAGGCGAGUGGAAUUCCUGGUGUAGCGGUGAAAUGCGCAGAUAUCGGGAAGAACACCCGUGGCGAAGGCGGCUCUCUGGGACGGUACUGACGCUGAGACGCGAAAGCGUGGGGAGCGAACAGG
rnacentral:rRNA from 1 species